AUUUAGAAUCGUCAAGUCCCAUGCAAGAAGCACAGACUGGAAGAAAUCUGUAAGAAAGUACAAAAUAUUGUAUACAAUUUGUUAUUAUGGACAGCGUUAAUUAUUUGUAUUGCAUCUCGAGACACUUUUCAAAUUAAACACAAGCGAAAAGUAAAGCGCGUUUCAUUUGUCAACGAAACGAUUUCUCUCCAAAGACAUCCUUGCUCUUCGAUAGACCAAGCAGUUCUGUCAUCGAAUCGUUUCGAUCGAGAGUUCGAGCGGAAAUGCUGAUUGGCUAAUUACCAAGCGCAAAACCCAAUUAGUAUGCUCGUUGAACGUCAAUUCCGCCCAAAAUUCGAGCAGUCCUUUUCGGAGAAGGUCGUGAUAAAAAAGACGUCAAGAAUAUCGGACGAACGCCAGGCUUCGAGGCUUUUAUUUAUAACAGGUAUAAUAGAAUAUAGAGUUAGUCCUUUGCAUACGAGGAUCAUGAUCUCAUAACGAUCUUACACCGGUGACGCUGUGCGAUUUGGAAAGCAUAGACGUGUUUCUAAAACGAAAAUUUUAACUUCU
rnacentral:lncRNA from 1 species